rnacentral:rRNA from 1 species
GUAGGUGGCAAGCGUUAUCCGGAAUUAUUGGGCGUAAAGCGCGCGCGGGCGGUUUCUUAAGUCUGAUGUGAAAGCCCACGGGCUCAACCGUGGAGGGUCAUUGGAAACUGGGGAACUUGAGUGCAGAAGAGAAAAGCGGAAUUCCACGUGUAGCGGUGAAAUGCGUAGAGAUGUGGAGGAACACCAGUGGCGAAGGCGGCUUUUUGGUCUGUAACUGACGCUGAGGCGCGAAAGCGUGGGGAGCAAACAGGAUUAGAUACCCUGGUAGUCCACGCCGUAAACGAUGAGUGCUAAGUGUUAGAGGGUUUCCGCCCUUUAGUGCUGCAGCUAACGCAUUAAGCACUCCGCCUGGGGAGUACGGUCGCAAAGACUG